rnacentral:rRNA from 1 species
CAUUAUGGCCAUACCACAUUGAAUGGCGCCUAUCUCGUCUGAUCUCAGAAGCUAAGUAGGUUGGGCCUCGUUAGUACUUGGGUGAAGACGCUCUUCAGCAGAGACUGUCAGAGACAAGCAGUUUGGAGACAAAAGGG